GACGAACGCUGGCGGCGUGCUUAACACAUGCAAGUCGAACGGAAAGGCCCUGCUUUUGUGGGGUGCUCGAGUGGCGAACGGGUGAGUAACACGUGAGUAACCUGCCCUUGACUUUGGGAUAACUUCAGGAAACUGGGGCUAAUACCGGAUAGGAGCUCCUGCUGCAUGGUGGGGGUUGGAAAGUUUCGGCGGUUGGGGAUGGACUCGCGGCUUAUCAGCUUGUUGGUGGGGUAGUGGCUUACCAAGGCUUUGACGGGUAGCCGGCCUGAGAGGGUGACCGGCCACAUUGGGACUGGGAUACGGCCCAGACUCCUACGGGAGGCAGCAGUGGGGAAUAUUGCACAAUGGGCGGAAGCCUGAUGCAGCAACGCCGCGUGCGGGAUGACGGCCUUCGGGUUGUAAACCGCUUUCGCCUGUGACGAAGCGUGAGUGACGGGAAUGGGUAAAGAAGCACCGGCUAACUACG
rnacentral:rRNA from 1 species